rnacentral:rRNA from 2 species
UGCAUAUCAAUAAGCGGAGGAAAAGAAACUAACAAGGAUUCCCCUAGUAACGGCGAGUGAAGCGGGAAAAGCUCAAAUUUGUAAUCUGGCGCCUUGGGCGUCCGAGUUGUAAUCUCGAGAAGUAUUUUCCGCGCUGGACCGCACAUAAGUCUGUUGGAAUACAGCGUCAUAGUGGUGAGAACCCCGUAUAGGGUGCGGAUGCCCAGUGCUUUGUGAUAUACUUUCGAAGAGUCGAGUUGUUUGGGAAUGCAGCUCAAAUUGGGUGGUAAAUUCCAUCUAAAGCUAAAUAUUGGCGAGAGACCGAUAGCGAACAAGUACCGUGAGGGAAAGAUGAAAAGCACUUUGGAAAGAGAGUUAACAGUACGUGAAAUUGUUGGAAGGGAAACGCUUGAAGUCAGACUUGCAUUUUGGAGUUCAGCCGCAAGGUGUAUUCUUCAAUUCGCAGGCCAGCAUCAGUUUUUGGGGGUGGAAAAGCGUGGUUUGAAGGUAGCAGUCUCGGCUGUGUUAUAGCUUUCCACUGGAUUCACUUUUGGGGACUGAGGAACGCAGUACGCUUUUUGCAAGAUUCUAGAGUCUUUCGUACUUAGGAUGCUGGUGGAAUGGCUUUAAACGACCCGUCUUGAAACACGGACCA